AGGACCCUUGGUAUCGAGCAUGACGGCGCAGAGAAUCUGCGUGUUCUGCAUUGCGAUCCGGAGGUUAUCGAGCGUCUCCUGGUGAUACUCGUGCGUGCCGUGGGAGAAGUUGAAUCGGGCCGUGUUCAUGCCGGCGCGCAGCAGCUUCUCGAGCAUCGGCACGGAUCUGGACGACGGCCCGAGGGUGCAGACCAGUUUCGUCUUCGGGACGCGGCCGUCGGCCGGGAGCUCCUUCAGGAUACCCUCGAUGUCGAUGUUCGCCAUGGCGAGAUGGGGAACUGAAACCCUAACCCUAGAUCUGGGGGAGAGGGGGAGCUGUUG
rnacentral:misc_RNA from 1 species